rnacentral:rRNA from 1 species
UGCGCAGGCGGGCUUGUAAGUCAGUGGUGAAAUACUGCCGCUUAACGGUAGAAUUGCCAUUGAUACUGCAGGUCUUGAAUAUAGUUGAGGUAGGCGGAAUGUGUUGUGUAGCGGUGAAAUGCAUAGAUAUGACACAGAACACCGAUUGCGGAGGCAGCUUACUAAGCUAUGAUUGACGCUGAGGCACGAAAGCGUGGGGAGCGAACA